rnacentral:misc_RNA from 1 species
AGUCGUAACAAGGUCUCCGUUGGUGAACCAGCGGAGGGAUCAUUAUCGAGUUAUUCAACUCCCAAACCCUAUGUGAACUUACCACUUGUUGCUUCGGCGCGCGCUUCGGCGCCGCCGAGGACACUUAAACUCUUUGUUUUUAUAAGCAUUUCUGAGUGGCCGAAAGGCAAAAAUACAAAUGAAUCAAAACUUUCAACAACGGAUCUCUUGGUUCUGGCAUCGAUGAAGAACGCAGCGAAAUGCGAUAAGUAAUGUGAAUUGCAGAAUUCAGUGAAUCAUCGAAUCUUUGAACGCACAUUGCGCCCGCCAGCAUUCUGGCGGGCAUGCCUGUUCGAGCGUCAUUUCAACCCUCGAGCCCGACUCUUUUGAGGACGGCUCGGCGUUGGGGGACGGCAGACUCCCCCCGGCAUCUCGCCGGGGACGCCGCCCCCGAAAUCUAGUGGCGGCCCUCCGAGGCGACCUCUGCGUAGUAACUUGUUCUCGCACCGGAAAGCUCAGAGCGGCCACGCCGUAAAACCCCAACUUUUUUCAGGUUGACCUCGAAUCAGGUAGGACUACCCGCUGAACUUAAGCAUAUCAAUAAGCGGAGGAAAAGAAACCAACAGGGAUUGCCCCAGUAACGGCGAGUGAAGCGGCAACAGCUCAAAUUUGAAAUCUGGCCCCUAGGGUCCGAGUUGUAAUUUGCAGAGGAUGCU